rnacentral:rRNA from 1 species
AUGCAAAGAACUUUGAAAAGAGAGUUAAACAGGGCUUGAAACCGUUAAGAGUGAAGCGAAGGAGGCCAGUGAUCAUGGGGCCAGAUCCCCAAGCGCCCUUUGUUGGGCGCCGUAGCGUUCUGGUUCCCGGGGCAGCGCCGGCUGGGGGCGGGUGUCAACGGGGAGGAGGUUGAGGGAUUCAUUUCCCGCCUGCUACUCCCUUCUAGCUUGCACCCUGGCCGAGGGAUCCGCGACUUGUCGUGUGAGGGCGCUGUCAAAAUGGCCUUCUCCACCCCGUCUUGAAACACGGACCAAGGAGUCUAACAUACUCGCGAGUGUUUGGGUGGUUAAAACCCCAACGCACAAUGAAAGUAAACGGUAGCUCUGCGCUAUUGCUUGGUGGGAACCCUUAUUUUAUAACGGGGGGCACCAUCACCCGACCCCGAUCCCUUAGGGGUGGUUGGUUUUGAGGCAGAGCGAGUAUGAUGGGACCCGAAAGAUGGUGAACUAUUCCUGAGUAGGGCGAAGCCAGAGGAAACUCUGGUGGAGGCUCGUAGCGAUGCUGACGUGCAAAUCGCUCGUCGAACUUGGGUAUAGGGGCGAAAGACUAAUCGAACCAUCUAGUAGCUGGUUCCCUCCGAAGUUUCCCUCAGGAUAGCGGGAGCAAAUGCAAGUCAGUAUCAUCC